UACGUAGGGGGCGAGCGUUGUCCGGAAUUAUUGGGCGUAAAGAGCGUGUAGGCGGUUCGGUAAGUCUGCCGUGAAAACCUGAGGCUCAACCUCGGGCGUGCGGUGGAUACUGCCGGGCUAGAGGACGGUAGAGGCGAGUGGAAUUCCCGGUGUAGCGGUGAAAUGCGCAGAUAUCGGGAGGAACACCAGUAGCGAAGGCGGCUCGCUGGGCCACACCUGACGCUGAGACGCGAAAGCUAGGGGAGCGAACAGG
rnacentral:rRNA from 1 species